rnacentral:rRNA from 1 species
UAAGCGGAGGAAANGAAACUAACAGGAUUCCCCUAGUAACUGCGAGUGAAGCGGGAAAAGCUCAAAUUUAAAAUCUGGUGGUCUUUGGCCAUNCGAGUUGUAAUUUAGAGAAGCGUCUUCCGCGCUGGACCGUGCACAAGUCUCCUGGAAUGGAGCGUCAUAGAGGGUGAGAAUCCCGUCNNGGCAUGGAAUCCCAGGGCUUCUGUGAUGCGCUCUCGACGAGUCGAGUUGUUUGGGAAUGCAGCUCAAAAUGGGUGGUGAACUCCAUCUAAAGCUAAAUAUUGGCGAGAGACCGAUAGCGAACAAGUACCGUGAGGGAAAGAUGAAAAGCACUUUGGAAAGAGAGUGAAACAGUACGUGAAAUUGUUGAAAGGGAAACGCUUGAAGUCAGUCGCGUCGACCGAGACUCAGCCUUGCCUCGGCUUGGUGUACUUCUCGGCUGACGGGUCAGCAUCGAUUUCGAUCCUCGGAUAAUGGCAAGGGAAAGGUAGCACCUUUUUAGGUGUGUUAUAGUCCUCUGUCGCAUGCGAGGGUCGGGAUCGAGGAACUCAGCACGCACCUCAGGGUGUCGGGGCCUUGGCCCACGUUUACGUGCUUAGGAUGCUGGCGUAAUGGCUUUAAACGACC